rnacentral:misc_RNA from 1 species
GUGAGUCAUCGAAUCUUUGAACGCACCUUGCGCUCCUUGGUAUUCCGAGGAGCAUGCCUGUUUGAGUGUCAGUUAAUUCUCAACCCCCUUCUGGUUUUUGCAACUGGACUGUGGAGGCUUGGAUGUGGAGGUUUGCGGGCCCCUCUAAUGGGUGUCAGCUCUUCUCAAAUACAUUAGCGGAACUGUUUGCAAUCCGUCACUGGUGUGAUAAUUAUCAACGCCAAUGGGUUGCUCUGUCUGUUCUGCUUCCAACAGUCCCCUUUGAUUGGGACAGCAGAUUGAACCUUUGACCUCAAAUCAGGUAGGACUACCCGCUGAACUUAAGCAUAUCAAUAAGCGGAGGA